AACGAACGCUGGCGGCAUGCCUAACACAUGCAAGUCGAACGAGACCUUCGGGUCUAGUGGCGCACGGGUGCGUAACGCGUGGGAACCUGCCCUUAGGUUCGGAAUAACUCCCCGAAAGGGGUGCUAAUACCGGAUAAUGUCUUCGGACCAAAGAUUUAUCGCCUUUGGAUGGGCCCGCGUUGGAUUAGCUAGUUGGUAGGGUAAAAGCCUACCAAGGCGACGAUCCAUAGCUGGUCUGAGAGGAUGAUCAGCCACACUGGGACUGAGACACGGCCCAGACUCCUACGGGAGGCAGCAGUGGGGAAUAUCGGACAAUGGGCGAAAGCCUGAUCCAGCAAUGCCGCGUGAGUGAUGAAGGCCUUAGGGUUGUAAAGCUCUUUUACCCGGGAUGAUAAGGACAGCACCGGGAGAAUAAGCUCCGGCUAACUCCGU
rnacentral:rRNA from 1 species